ensembl:lncRNA
GAGUAGUGCUGUUCAUGCAGGUAUUACCAAAAAAAAAAAAAAAGGCAGCUUCAGACCACUUGAAUCAGAAUGUUAUAAUCUUGUGACCAGGGUUGGAAAAAAGAAAGAUUUUAUUGAAAGAAUGCAGACCAAAUGGACCCCAGACCUGUCAUGUCUCCACACUGCACUGCAAUUGGCCUUUCACCGUAAGGAAACCAGAAAGGAGUUCCGAGGGGGCCAGAAGAAGCCAGCAGCUGUGAUAGCUUUUUUUAAAAAGGACAUUGGAAAGAGCCCAUGAGUUUUAUUUUAUAAAUGACUUAAUCAUCUGAGAAACCAAGUCAAGUGCUAAACUGCGGGUCUGCCAAAGCUGGGGAGAGCAACUGCCAGGCCUUUGUAGCUCCAUUGGAACUGCCAGAGCUCCAGGGAGGCAUGGAGUCAGAAAGGACCUCAGCAGAAGGCCUUUAUCAGCACCUCCAUACUUCACUUGGUGAGAGAAUCCUGCCCCGUGACCACACAGUCCCCUGCUUCCAGUCUUCUAAAGCGGGGCCUCCCUGGGCCUCUGCCAGAAAAUUCCUUGUGCAGUCUGAGUGGUGCUUACCUGGGUUUACAUCCCAGUUGUGCUAAGUUUCUAGCUUAGUUUCCUCCUCUAUUAAAUGCUGAUGAUAAUGGCACCUAGCUCAUGGGGUUUUACUUGGAGGAUCACGUGGAAAAAUGAAAGUCAAGGGCUCAGUGCAGUACUUGGCCCAUAUAUAGUGCCCCUAAGUGGUUAUUAACAUUCACUCGGGCCUGUAUUGGCAGCCUGUUUACAUCAGGUGGAGUCGCGGUUUAAGGAAACACCUCAGCGUCAAUGAUGGAAACGUUUCAUAAGGAAAACCCAAGCAGGUUGAAGUGAAAUCCAAUGGGCUGUGAACUGAAACUCAAGAAUAUCUUCUGGAAAGUCCCAUGGUGCUGAGCUCAGUAAGGAAUCAAACCAAACCCUCCCGCUUGUUCAGUGCUCCUGGAGCUCACAUAGGACGGGGCACUUCUGAGCUCCAUGAGGAAGGGGUUGCCACCCCUACUGGGAGCCGAGAAUCUUGGAGCUAGUCCAUGCAGCACCCUGAAAAGCCUGGCAGCUUUCAUCUUGGGGACUCCAGGGAGCUGGUUAGGCUGAGAAAGUGAGGCUGUGCUGGGAAAUUUGCAAAAGCACAGCCAGGCUUUCCUCCCCUAGGGAAGCAGGGUCUUGCUCUUUUCAAGCCACUGGUACCUUCUAAGUUGAUCCGUUGCACACUGAGAGUUUGGGCUAAGGUAUGGAGAUCGAGAAGCUUUUCUCUUAAAAGGGAAUUGUUAGUGUCUUUCUGAAAAGCCAGUGUGGUUUUUAGGG